CUACGGGAGGCAGCAGUGAGGAAUAUUGGACAAUGGAGGCAACUCUGAUCCAGCCAUGCCGCGUGCAGGAAGACUGCCCUAUGGGUUGUAAACUGCUUUUAUAGAGGAAGAAACCUCCCUUCGUGAAGGGAAUUGACGGUACUCUACGAAUAAGGAUCGGCUAACUCCGUGCCAGCAGCCGCGGUAAUACGGAGGAUCCAAGCGUUAUCCGGAAUCAUUGGGUUUAAAGGGUCCGUAGGCGGACUAAUAAGUCAGUGGUGAAAGUCUGCAGCUCAACUGUAGAAUUGCCAUUGAUACUGUUAGUCUUGAGUCAUUAUGAAGUGGUUAGAAUGAGUGGUGUAGCGGUGAAAUGCAUAGAUAUCACUCAGAAUACCGAUUGCGAAGGCAGAUCACUAAUAAUGUACUGACGCUGAUGGACGAAAGCGUAGGUAGCGAACAGGAUUAGAUACCCUGGUAGUCUACGCCGUAAACGA
rnacentral:rRNA from 1 species